CCUACGGGUGGCAGCAGUGAGGAAUAUUGGUCAAUGGACGAGAGUCUGAACCAGCCAAGUAGCGUGAAGGAUGACUGCCCUAUGGGUUGUAAACUUCUUUUAUAAAGGAGUAAAACGAUGCACGUGUGCCUUUUUGCAUGUACUUUAUGAAUAAGGAUCGGCUAACUCCGUUCCAGCAGCCGCGGUAAUACGGAGGAUUCGAGCGUUAUCCGGAUUUAUUUGGUUUAAAGGGAGCCUAGAUGGGUUGUUAAGUCAGUUGGGAAAGUUUGCGGCGCAACCGUAAAAUUGCAGUUGAUACUGGCAGUCUUGAGUACAGUUGAGGUAGGCGGAAUGCGUGGUGUAGCGGUGAAAUGCUUAGAUAUCACGAAGAACCCCGAUUGCGAAGGCAGCUUACUAAACUGUGACUGACAUUGAUGCUCGAAAGUGUGGGUAUCAAACAGGAUUAGAUACCCCGGUAGUC
rnacentral:rRNA from 1 species